GCGGAUUUAGCUCAGUUGGGAGAGCGCCAGACUGAAGAUUGAAACUUCGGUUGACUGUUAUCUGGAGGUCCUGUGUUCGAUCCACAGAAUUCGCA
rnacentral:tRNA from 1 species